rnacentral:rRNA from 1 species
AUGGGAUUCCGUGACAUCGAACUCUUUAAUCUAGCCUUGCUUGCGCGGCAAGCUUGGCCUCUCCUCCAGGAACCAAAUUCCCUGAGCGCUCGUAUUCUCAAAGCUGUCUAUUAUCCUACAUCGUUGAUCCUUGAAGCCGAGCUGGGCAGAAACCCAUCUCAAGUCUGGCGCUCUCUGAUUGAAGGCCGAGACACAUUGUAGCUUGGUCUCGUGAAACGUAUCGGCUCCGGCGAGGACACCAACAUUUGGGUGGAUAACUGGAUACCACGAGAUUUUAAGCUCCGACCGGUGUGCCCGAAGAUGACCAACCCUCCACAAAUGGUGUCAGAACUCAUCAACCCGGUCACCUCUUCCUGGGAUGUCGAUGUGCUUGAAACGCACCUCUAUGCAAUGGACAAGGAAGCAAUCCUCAACAUCCCUCUCAGCUCUCGAGUCGACGACAAUUUCUGGGCUUGGCAUUAUGAAUGCAAGGGCGUUUUCACGGUGAGGUCGGCAUAUAAAGUUCUGUCCUCCACAAAACAACAGCGCACUGAUUGGCUUGAACACACCGAGGGGCACUCGCGGGCCGAUGCAGAUCGCCGGUCCUGGUCUAGACUAUGGGGUGCCGCAGUUCCCUCGAAAGUACGGGUCUUCGCCUGGAGGUUGGCCAAGAGCUCGAUCCCAACCGGAGAGGUCCGAAAACACCGAAGUAUGGCUGACUCAGCGAAGUGCGCUAUCUGUCGCGCGGCGGUCGAUACAUGGCGUCAUUCCCUCUUUGACUGCCGCAUGGCUCGCUGCGUCUGGACCCUCACUGACGAGGAUUGA